GGUCAAGUGACCAAGCGUGCACGGUGGAUGCCUUGGCAGUCAGAGGCGAUGAAGGACGUGGUAAUCUGCGAUAAGGUUCGGGGAGUUGAUAAACAAACUUUGAUCCGAACAUUUCCGAAUGGGGAAACCCACCCGCUUGCGGGUAUCAUUAAGUGAAUACAUAGCUUAAUGAGGCGAACUCGGGGAACUGAAACAUCUAAGUACCCGAAGGAAAAGAAAUCAACCGAGAUUCCCUAAGUAGCGGCGAGCGAAAGGGGAUUAGCCCUUAAGUUGAUUUGGUGUUAGUAGAACAAGCUGGAAAGCUUGGCC
rnacentral:rRNA from 1 species